CAAAAUCUGACAAGGAUAUCAAGAGAAUGAGAAUCAGCAGACAACCUCUAUCAUAAUCAUAGAUGAAAAAUCCUAACCAAUAUAUUAGCAAACUGCAUCAAGCUAUAUGUGAAAAGAAUAAUUUAAGUGUCAUGACCAAGUGAAGUUUAAUUCCAAGAGAAGCUCCUCAAGGCUGCCCCCAGUUCCUGGGCACACAGUCUUUCUCAACGCGGCCACCUGCUUCACUAAGCCAGCAAAGACCCCCUGGAGCGGUCCGCCAGCAAGAUGGAGGCUCCCAUGACAUCACACAUCAUGGGCGUGGCCUGCAUCUCUUCGGUUUGUCCUCUUGCGGAGAAGAGAGCCUCGCAGCCUUGAUGAACUGCCUCAAGUCCUUGCUGUUGCUGGAUCGGGUCCUCACUGAGAACGGUAAGCUGCUCCUUCAGGGCACCGGCCGGGUCAGUCUUCUGGGCCUAAACCCACGCGGGGCCAAUAGGUUCUGCUCUUCCCGGCGUCGCCCUGCUGGCGGCCACCUCGGGCCUCACCCUCAAGACUGCUCAGCAACCACCACCACCUGCCUGACCCGCGUCAGGAAGAGCUCGGCUCUGAGGUGGAGCUGAGACACCACCGAGACGAGUGGGAGGGUAGGCAGAUGGUGGAGCAUAGGCCUGAGACACUGAGAUGCGGCCCCCUGCUGGGCCGAGGACAUGCUGGUGCUUCCGCGGCACCGCCCGCAGCCCUCCUCGUGCUCCCGCCCCGCCCCUCGUCCACCUGGGUUUCCGGCCUCAGGGCCUCAGACGCCCUCGCACAGUGACGGGUCGUGGGGCCCACUGUUGCCACCGGACAGAAACCCAAAAUUUGUUGUUAUCUCUUAAAGGAUUGAGAAUUGCAUACAAAAACCUUAGGUAAAGUGAAAAAAAAAAAAAAGAUGAACACUUGACUGGUGUAAAUGCAAACCACCAAAUCAAGGCAAAGUAACAACCCAUGGGAAAAUUAGCGCCCAAGAAGGCAAACUGUAUCCUCAGGGUGGGACUUAAGAGUAGUCAAGGAGAAGGGUUUACACAGGGAGCCAACACCAGGACCCUAGGAAGUCACUGUAGAGGCUUGUCAUACAAUACGGGGCUUUUCCCCUGCUUUACUGAGGGUAUACUCAACAAAUAAAAAUUGUAUAUGUUUAAGGUGUA